GGCAUGGAUUAGGCAUGCAAGUCGAACGGACUUUCAGAAGCUUGCUUCUGAAAGUUAGUGGCGAAAGGGUGAGUAACGCGUGAGUAACUUGCCCCCAAGUCGGGAAUAACACCUUGAAAGGGGUGCUAAUACCGGAUGUGAAUGUUCACCCGCAUGUGUGAACAUUUAAAGAUUUAUCGCUUGGGGAUAGGCUCGCGUCCCAUUAGCUAGUUGGUAAGGUAACGGCUUACCAAGGCUACGAUGGGUAGUUGGUCUGAGAGGAUGAUCAGCCACACUGGGACUGAGACACUGCCCAGACUCCUACGGGAGGCUGCAGUCGAGAAUCUUCCGCAAUGCGCGAAAGCGUGACGGAGCGAUGCCGCGUGCCGGAUGAAGGUCUUCGGAUUGUAAACGGCUGUCACCCGGAACGAAUAAUGACGGUACCGGGAGAGGAAGCCACGGCUAACUAC
rnacentral:rRNA from 1 species